rnacentral:rRNA from 1 species
CUCUGGACGGAUACUGACGCUGAGGCGCGAAAGCUAGGGGAGCAAACAGGAUUAGAUACCCUGGUAGUCCUAGCCGUAAACAAUGUGCACUUGGUGUAAGCCGGUUUUCGGUUUGUGCCGAAGUUAACGCGAUAAGUGCACCGCCUGGGGAGUACGGUCGCAAGUCUGAAACUCAAAGGAAUUGACGGGGGCCCGCACAAGCGGUGGAGCAUGUGGUUCAAUUCGAUGCAACGCGAAGAACCUUACCUGGGUUUGAACUGUGAUUGAAAUUUCCAGAGAUGGAAAUGGCUAGCAAUAGACAAUUACAGAGGUGCUGCAUGGCUGUCGUCAGCUCGUGUCGUGAGAUGUUGGGUUAAGUCCCGCAACGAGCGCAACCCUUGCCUCUAGUUGCUCGCUGUAACAGGCAGCACUCUAGACGGGACCGCCGGUGAUAAACCGGAGGAAGGUGGGGAUGACGUCAAGUCAUCAUGGCCUUUAUGUCCAGGGCUACACACGUGCUACAAUGACCGGUAACAAAGGGUCGCCAACCCGCAAGGGGGAGCCAAUCCCGACAAAACCGGCCUCAGUUCGGAUUGCACUCUGCAACUCGAGUGCAUGAAGUUGGAAUCGCUAGUAAUCGCGGAUCAGCAUGCCGCGGUGAAUACGUUU